rnacentral:rRNA from 1 species
AUUGAACGCUGGCGGCAGGCUUAACACAUGCAAGUCGAGCGGAGCGAGGGUGCUUGCACCUUAGCUUAGCGGCGGACGGGUGAGUAAUGCUUAGGAAUCUGCCUAUUAGUGGGGGACAACGUUUCGAAAGGAACGCUAAUACCGCAUACGUCCUACGGGAGAAAGCAGGGGAUCUUCGGACCUUGUGCUAAUAGAUGAGCCUAAGUCGGAUUAGCUAGUUGGUGGGGUAAAGGCCUACCAAGGCGACGAUCUGUAGCGGGUCUGAGAGGAUGAUCCCCCACACUGGGACUGAGAAACGGCCCAGACUCCUACGGGAGGCAGCAGUGGGGAAUAUUGGACAAUGGGGGCAACCCUGAUCCAGCCAUGCCGCGUGUGUGAAGAAGGCCUUUUGGUUGUAAAGCACUUUAAGCGAGGAGGAGGCUUACCUAGUUAAUACCUGGGAUAAGUGGACGUUACUCGCAGAAUAAGCACCGGCUAACUCUGUGCCAGCAGCCGCGGUAACAC